CCUACGGGGGGUAGCAGUGAGGAAUAUUGGUCAAUGGUCGGGAGACUGAACCAGCCAAGCCGCGUGAGGGAGGAAGGUCCAGAGUAUCGUAAACCUCUUUUGUCAGGGAACAAAGGCGGGGACGUGUCCCCGGAUGAGUGUACCUUACGAACAAGCAUCGGCUAACUCCGUGCCAGCAGCCGCGGUAAUACGGAGGAGGCGAGCGUAAUCCGGAUUGAUUGGGUUAAAAGGGUGCGCGGGCGGUCUGUUAAGUCAGCGGUCAAAGCCCGGGGCCAAACCCCGGCCCGCCGUUGAAACUGGCAGGCUCGAGUUGGAGAGAGGUAUGCGGAAUGCGCGGUGUAGCGGUGAAAUGCAUAGAUAUCGCGCAGAACUCCGAUUGCGAAGGCAGCAUGCCGGAUCAAGACUGACGCUGAGGCACGAAAGCGUGGGUAUCGAACAGGAUUAGAUACCCGGGUAGUC
rnacentral:rRNA from 1 species